ACAGAGGGUGCAAACGUUGUUCGGAAUUACUGGGCGUAAAGCGCGUGUAGGCGGCAAGGCAAGUCGGAUGUGAAAGCCCACGGCUCAACCGUGGAAGUGCACCCGAAACUGCCUAGCUAGAGUCUCGGAGAGGAAGGUGGAAUGCUUGGUGUAGAGGUGAAAUUCGUAGAUAUCAAGCGGAACACCGGUGGCGAAGGCGGCCUUCUGGACGAUGACUGACGCUGAGACGCGAAAGCGUGGGGAGCAAACAGGAUUAGAUACCCUGGUAGUCCACGCCGUAAACGAUGAGUGCUAGGUGUCACGGGCUUUGACCCUCGUGGUGCCGAAGCUAACGCGUUAAGCACUCCGCCUGGGGAGUACGGCCGCAAGGCUA
rnacentral:rRNA from 1 species